rnacentral:rRNA from 1 species
UACAGAGGGUGCGAGCGUUAAUCGGAUUUACUGGGCGUAAAGGGCGCGUAGGCGGUGAGAUGUGUGUGAUGUGAAAGCCCCGGGCUCAACCUGGGAAGUGCAUCGCAAACUAUCUGACUAGAGUAUAUGAGAGGGUGGCGGAAUUUCCGGUGUAGCGGUGAAAUGCGUAGAUAUCGGAAGGAACGUCAAUGGCGAAGGCAGCCACCUGGCAUAAUACUGACGCUGAGGCGCGAAAGCGUGGGGAGCGAACAGG